UCCUGCUUUCCUGACCCUCUCCGCCAUUUAAAGAAACAGUACCGGGGGCGGGCCGAGCGACGCAGCCGGGACGGUAGCUGCGGUGCGGACCGGAGGAGCCAUCUUGUCUCGUCGCCGGGGAGUCAGGCCCCUAAAUCGAAGAAGCCCUGGCGCGCCCUCCCCCCCUCCCGGGUCUGGUAGGGCGAAGGAACGGGCGUGCGGUCGAUCGAGCGAUCGGUUGGCGGCUCUUUCUCCUGCUCUGGCAUCCAGCUCUUGGGGCGCAGGCCCGGCCGCCGCGGCGCGCGCCCGGUGGCCGUUGGCGCUCGCGCCGCGUCUUUCUUCUCGUACGCAGAACUCGGGCGGCGGCCUAUGCGUUUGCGAUUCGACGAGGAGUCGUCCGGGUGGUCGGCGGCGGCGGGCAGCUGCUCCGCCCCGCUCCGGGGGAGGCGGCGGCGGCAGCGGCCGCGGGAUUUGGAGCGGCCGGGGAGGCGGGGGUGGCCGGGGCCGGCUUGGAGGCCUGGCGCCACCCUUCGGGGCCUGCAAGGACCCAGUUGGGGGGGCAGGAGGGGGCCGGAGGAUGGUUGGUUGUGGGAUUUCUACUUUGCCUUUUCCUCCUUAUGCCGCCUUAGUGAGGGGCGGGAGCUCUGGCGGCAGCCCCGGGGUGGGGAGACGAGCUCCGGAGUCGGAAGAGCUGGGUUUUCUUCCGGGCCUAGCCACCAGUUGGCGGAGUGACCUUAGGCGAGUCACUCUGUAAUUUGUCUGCGCCUCAGUUUCCUCCUCUGCCUAUCAAUGUGUGUGGGGUUGAAAUCGCUUUGUAAACUAUAAAGCGUGGGUGUACGUAAAGGAUGGUUAUUGUUUAUAAUUUUUUUUGAGUUGUAAGAAAACUUAGCAGUUCCCCAAUCCUUGGGUUUUGAACCUGGGAACCUUGGAUUGGAGUUGGGGAUCCCCAAACUUCCUGAAAUUGUGGGAAUGUGCGGUUUGGGGGAAUGAUGGGAAUUUGUGGGAAUGUGCGUUUUAGGGGAAUGAUGAUCCAUCGCUAGCAAGUUUUCCAAGGGGGCUGUGACCCAGAAGAGUUAAGAAUCACAAUUUCUUCAUGCUACAGAGAGGAAACUGAGGCCUAGAUGUCAUUUGGGACCCUUCACAACCAUUUUGAAGCCCUGUUUGAGUCCCUGGGAUAUGUGAGCUGUUUCUAUGCAUAAUGGAUAUUCGGGGUUAACAACAGUCCCCUGCUUGGCUUCUAUUCUGAAUCCUUUUCUUUCACCAUGGGGUGCCUGAAGGGUGGCUGAUGCAUAUGGUACAAUGGCACCCAGUGUAAAGCAGCUACAAUUAGGAGUGGAUGUGUUCUGUAGCAUCCUAUUUAAAUAAGCCUAUUUUAUCCUUUGGCCCGUCAACUCUGUUAUCUGCUGCUUGUACUGGUGCCUGUACUUUUCUGACUCUCAUUGACCAUAUUCCACGACCAUGGUUGUCAUCCAUUACUUGAUCCUACUUUACAUGUCUAGGCUGUGUGGUUGGUGGUGAAUAGGCUUCUUUUUACAUGGUGCUGCCAGCCCAGCUAAUUAAUGGUGCACGUGGACUUUUAGCAAGCGGGCUCACUGGAAGAGACUGAACCUGGCAUGGAAUUCCUGAAGAUGUUUGGGGUUUUUUUCUUUCUUAAUCGAAAGUUAACAUUGUCUGAAAAGUUUUGUUAGAACUACUGCGGAACCUCAAAAUCAGUAGAUUUGGAAGUGAUUCAAAGCUAAACUUUUUCCUUGGCCCUCCUUGUGUUCUAAUUGCUUGCAAGUGUAAUACUAGGAUGUCCAAGAUGCCAGUUUUUGCUUCUUUGUUAGUUGUCAGCUGCUUUUAUCAAAUUUCAGGCCAUUAUCCAACAAACACUAUAAAAAUGUUUGAACAAUUGGAUUUCAAACAUUUUCGUUUUGUGGAGUGGUGCUCACCAAGUGGUACAGCCCUAAGCAAGUGAACACAAACACAUUUAAGUGUAUUUUGUCUGAUUAGAUGUUAGCCAGUUAUGCUAUUUCAUUCAAAUGUCUGAAAAAAUCAAUUGACUAUUCCCUUUUCCUAAAGGGCAGAGACAGAUAAUCUCACUUCCAGAGAAAUGACUUGGAGAAAAAAAAGUGUUGGUCUUUUUGCUCUUUUGUAAUUAAAUCCGGAUGUACCUCAAAAGACUUAAGACUGUGGUGAUAAGAUGCUUUCCUCAGCAGAAAGGAGGGAAAAAAAACAACUGGAACUCAAAGCUUGAAAUUCUGUGGCAAAACAUGAGAUGUCCAGGAUUGGAGGUUGAAAAGAUUUCACUACAGUGUUCUGCAAUAGUUGGAGCAGAUAACUUUCAGUGUAGCCACAGCCAUGGACUCCAGAUUUCCAGAUUUUCAAGACCUGGACCUGGAACCCGAAAGAGCUUGUCACGAUGCGGCAGGAACACUGGAGGUAGAUUUUUUUUUAUUUUUGAAUUUUGGGACUGUUGACCUUGCUGUGAGAAAAGAGACAACGACUGAGCAAGCACUACCACCAGCACUGUUACUGGGAAUUAGAAGACCUGAGUUUCUGUCCAGACCCUCAGUGCAAACUGAGGAUGCUCCAUCCAAAGUGAAUUAUGAUAGCAGACUCCUUGAAAGCAGGGUCCUUGUUUAGUGCAUCUUUGCCCACAUACACCACAACAUAUCAAGAUGCAUUUAUUAGGAAGGAGGAGUUUAGAGAGCAGGCUAUCAGAAUAACCACUCACCUACAGACCUGGUACCUGGAUUUUUGCCCGAGAUGAUUCCUACCACCUUACUACUGACGAAGACACCCAUUCCAGUGGACCACUGUGACCCAGGAGGCAUUCAGCCAUCAUGAUGUGGCCUUUACCUCCACUCCUGUCUUGUUCUACCCAGAUUCAGCACAGCCCUUUAUAGUGAAGUCAGAGUCCUCAAGCCAAAUAGCUAAAGCUGUUUUAUCACAACAAAGGCCUAGUUUGUUCCAUGAGUGUGCAUUUCAUUUCUUCAGUUAAAGCCUUCAGAGACACACAAUAAAUUUGGACCAGGGGAUUUUUUAGUUAUUAAUGCUCUCUGAAGAAAGGCAACAUCUUUUUGAGAGCAGCAUUGGACCACACCCCACAAUCUCAAAUGAUUGAAAUUCAUGAACAUCUAGGAUCCCGUGAAGGUCACUGGACCCUGUUUUUUCUACUUCAAAUCCUGUAGUAGCCUACUGAAUGAGAAAACAUAUUCUGACCCAUUGGGAUCAAAUCAAAGGCACAGUGAACUCCUCAUAGCAUCUUCUUUGGAAUUACUCAGGAACCAGAACUUUUUACACAAAUGUAAGAAAUUCUACCAAGGAGUCCCCUUACCUAACAGCAUCUCACAAGGCUGCACCAGAUUCCAGAAAAGGCUUCUCUUGAUACAUCAAGGUAGAACCUCUAUGCAUUUUGUGACCGACUUAUUCUUAGAUCAUUGGUUUUCCAAAGGCUUUGUGGCCAUGAAGCCCUUUGAGUGAAAACUGUGCAGAAGCCCAGAGUAAAAGUGAAGCUGCUCUGGAUGAAGUAGUGAAGCAAGAGUAGGGGCCUGAAUCCUGCUACAACUAUCUUCCUUUACCACCGUGGUGACACCUAAGGGGACUUCCUUACAACACCUUGAACUCUUCCGAACACAGUUUGAAAACCACUGCCCCAGACAGCAAUAUGUUUGACCUGAAUGGCAUUCCAAUCUUUUCUGUACCUCCACUCAGCACAGUUCAUGUUCAGUAGAUGCUGAACAUUCUUAGAAAUACUGUGUGUGAACUUAGAAAAGUGCAAGAAGACAGGCAUGUCUUUGACCCCAGGAAUGAUCAUUUGCUGAAGAUGGUGUCAAGUGAACCUAGAUUAACAGCCCUCCACUCCAGAUGGAUAUCCAGUGAUUCCUAGAAUGGGAUAUAGCCAGAGAACAAUUCUAUGCACCCUACACUGACAGACUCCCUUAAGCAACACCAGAUGCUCUACUGGUACUUGAAGUACAUGACUUUGAAGUCUUGACCCUCCAUGAAUACCUGAAUUAUCAGCAAGCGGGUUUUGAAGCUGGUGCCUCAUUGAGGCCAUAUUAGAGCAACUUGUACAUUUGACCUCUUGUUAUCAGCCAUGGUACUCUACUUCGUGUGCAAGAGAUAACUAUGAAAGCCAAAUUCAAAUACUGGCAACAUUUCCUAAAGGGGCUCAAUAUCUAUCAUUCGUCUUCUUUUCCAAACUACACAUCACUGUAUGACUCAACCAGUAGCAGUUAUAUUGCCCCUUGGUUUUUAUUCAGUUUAACUACUGUUUCCAAGAUAAAUGAGCUAAUAAGCUUUAAAAAAAAAAAAAAAAAAGGCUGAAUUCUUUUUUCUUCAUCACUGGCAUAUCUGCCUAUUCUCCAGAAUUAUUAUGACUAUUCAGCUCACUUUAACAGUUGAACUUCAAGCGACAAUCUUUGAACACCCCUUCUCAUGUGAUUUAAAAUGAAACCAUUUGGAAAAGUUUCUUCUAGCCAGUAAUAGAUUUUUUUUUUAAUUGCUCUGCCUUGUGCCGAGAGAUGUUCUUUUAAGAUGAAUCUUUUGAUGUCUGAUACCACCAAAUAUAGGUGGUAGGGAGAGUUGGAGGCUGGCCCUUUGAGCAGGCCAUUAGCUUACUUGCUGGGCAUUUCCGAUAGCUUAUUGCCUACCUUUUUGCUGGAAACAAACUGAUUUGAAAAACAAAAUCUAUGAAGACUGCAGCUAAGGAUUUUAUCGGUAGACUUAAGAGCUUUUGUCCUUGUGGAUAUUUUAGUGGAACCACAUCAGUCUCAAUACUGUCAUUUUACACUGACUCAGAGCAGCUGACUUCAUUCCUUGCCAUGAUAUAUAUUUAAGGCAGGCAUUGUAACAGACAUAAAGACAACUUAUCUGUUUCAGCAGGAAGGAUUCAGUUUAUGAACUCUCAGACCAGAUCAUGUUGAACAAGGAGACUUUGAUGUGUGUCAUGAGAAAACUCAUUCUUUACUUCCCAGUCAAUUUAAAGGCCAGCUAUCCUGAGCUACUCGAAUGAAUGCACUGGUUAAACAUUGGAAAUAGUUUGUUUAUAUCCUUGUCUCUCUCUAGGCCAAUUGUGAUUACAUGACUCGACUCUACAUCUCGUCAAACAAGGCCUAGGUCUGGUUGCUGUAGACUGCUCGCCCUCAACAAAUAAAAUCUGGUUGACUAGCCUCCUUGUAUAUACAACUAUUAUUUGUUAAGAAGAAAUUAUCGUCAAUUUUCUACUACCUUCCAAUUGUCAGCUCUUUUUUUCCUCUCUGGUUUUUCCUAUACUUUACAGAAAAAGACAUUGAUCUAUACUGCCAUUCCCUCUAAUCCUGCCAUACUCAGUCAAAAGGAAUGACUUAAGAUGAAGAUGAUCAUCUGCUCGAGUCUAAAAUAUACAUUGUAUAUAAGAAUUGGUGAUUAGAAAAGCAAAAAACCUAAAACUUAAAUCUAGGAGUCUGUAUACUGUCUCCAUGUCUCCAUGCCUCAGAUCUCAUCUAAAUCUUUGAACAGCACCAUUCAACCAAUCUGAGGCCUUGACUUGCUUGUAAGAUGAUUCUCAGAGAUCGGCUGAGUUAAAAAAGAUGACGACUUGAUUACCAAAGAAAGUAGGGCCAACUUUGACAAAUCUGGCUCUGCUGACCCUGUCACUCCCAGAUGUAGCAUAGACUCCUAAACAGAACCUCAAGUCUGAUUGAGGAUAAGGCCUUCUCCUGAGCUGAAAGUUCUUUGGCAGAUGAGCAAGAAACUGAAAGCUGAUGUACCUGACUGGCUCUGUAAGAUCAGAAAACUGUAUCCAGAAUAAGCCCUAUGGAUUAACCCCUGAGUACCCAGAGUAAAAACUAAUUUACAGAACUUCCUUAUUGAUCUGCUGGUUCUUCCAGAUCAUAUUCUGGCUAUUGGUAUGGCUGGCCUUUCUGAAGGUACCCUGCUUGUCUAUUUUCCUGACUCAGCUCUUGCCUGCCUUUUUCACAUGUUGCUGCAAUUAGACUCACCGUGAGGACUACAGUCAAUUUCAGUCUAUCUUGUGCCCAAUACAACAAGGAUUUUUAAUAGUAACAACCCACACCUCACCCACUAGGACUCAAUGUUCACAACAGGAAGGACCAUUGCUGCAUACUCCUUGACCAGCAACUUUUUUGAAGAUAUUUUUAAGUGCAGAGUAGGCCUCUAUUCCUGUAUGUAAUUGUUCAUUUUCAGCACCUGGAACCUCAUCUAUCGGGUCUGGAAGGAAUACAGCAGUUCGAAAGCCGCGUCCAUUUCUCUCCUUCAGUAGUGCAGAAAUGAGUCCGAUUCACCAGUACACACAGAACUGUACCAGUUCAACCUAGCAAAAGAAGAAAAGUUUCCACUGUACUUAAAAUUUACAGCUGACUCAAAUUGCCUCACAGAAUUAUUUGAUGUAGAAGGCUAGUUGUCUUACUUCAGAUCAGCAGGACAGUUGGGCUCUCAGACUCAUGACCACUGAGUUUGCUUGUGUUGAAACUGUGGUUUCAUCCAACAUAUGCUAUUGGACAUGAUUAUUAUUCCAUUCAAAUGGAUUACAGACUUCUUGAGGACAGGACAAACUUAUCUCUCAUGGUGUUUUUUUAGAAUACUUUUAUAACCAAGGAAGAAACCAUGCCAGCUGUUACCAUUCAACUUCUUAAGCAGAGAUUAAGCUUUUUCAUAUCUGUUCUUAUCCUGGACAUCAGUAGUUUUUAAUUGCCCAGCAUCCGUUCCAUCUUGUAACAACUCCCUGAUGUUUCUUAAAACCACCUCUUCCUAUUUUCAGUCUGUGGUUUGGACAGUCUGACCCAACCUUGAGCUUUGUGGGUGAACAUGUAAUUCAGACCUCAUCAAUCAGCAAAUCCAUCUGAACUGUGGAGGAGAAGCUCUCUUUACUGAGGGUGCUUUAGCUUUGUAGGAUGAAAACCUCAAACUAACAGGGCCUACCAUGUAGAGAAUGAAGCCAGUGCAGGGGAAAGCAGAGCCAAAAUAUGGAGAGACUUGAAUCCUGAUGACAGCGUUUGUGCCCCUGGAUCCAACCGUGCCUGAAGCUAGAAUAUCCCCUGGACUUUUCAGUUAUGUGAACCAAUAAAUACCCUUUUUUGCUUAAGUUACUUUGAGUUGGGUUUCUGUUACUUGAAAUUGAAUCCACACUAAUAUAUCUACCAACAUUGAGACUUGACAGAUCCAAGUAUUUAUUAAGCUAGAGGUCAUGGUCACUGAAAUUACUUUCCAAAGUGGAAGACAAAAUGAAACAGGAACUGAGGGAAUAUUUAAGAUCCCACAGAAGCGUAAAAAUGACAUGGUAGAAAGUAAUAGAAAACCUAAAUGUCUGUCAUUAAAGGAUAGGUUAAGGUGUGGUUCAGCCAUAUAGGAAUAUCUCGUAUCUGUUAAAAUGAAUAAAGUACAUUCAUUGUGUAUGGAAAAAUGGCCAUGAUACAUUAGGUGAAACAAGUUAUUAAUAGAAAAGUGUACAGUGUGAACUCAUUUUAAAAUGUGUGUGCUUAUGUUUAUAAAUGCAUAGAAAGGUCUAUUCACAGCUUUCUUUGAACAGUGUAGAUCACAUGAAACUUUCAACUUUAUACAUUUCUGUAUUAAUAUUUUACACUACCCACAUUAUUUUUAAACUUUAUUUUAAAUAAAGAAUUUUUAAAAUUAA
rnacentral:lncRNA from 1 species